AUAAGGCUUGGUGAUUCCCAGGUGGAACAGGUCAUCCUGUUGCAGAAGCUGUACCAAGUUUUGUGACACAAGCAGGUAGAGCACUUGCAGUUCUCUGGAAGAGUCUGGAAGAUGGGUUGUUCAUUAUGCUAGUUCCAGUGAGCCAGGUGAACCCAUUUAGCCUUUUCCCAGCAGGACUCUCAUCUGCCGACAGGCUUGAUGGAGGACCUUAGGCUUAAUGUUUGCGCAGGAUGGAUCUACUCUGGGGACGAAUCAGGAUGACAGAGCGAAGCUGCUGUUGUCUGAAGGACCCUUCCCUCAGCGUAUGCAGUGUUUGGAAGGGUCUAAGCCACAACACCACAACAAACAGAAAAACUAGACUGAGAUCCUGUCUUUUUGUUGUGAGGAUUUCAAGAUACACGUGCAAUGAUUUUCCCCGAAAAGGCUACUGAAGUGAAGGGCCUCCUGGAUCUCGAAGGCAACUGGCUACGUUUCUAAGCAAGGAGAAAGAGAGAGAUGGGAAUUGGCAAAUGGAGCAGAGAAGAGUGGAAGGAGCCAGCCUGUUGCAGGUAGCCCACCAGCCUAAGAGAUUCC